CCUGUACCCGAAACCGACACAGGUGGGUAAGUAGAGAAUACUAAGGGGCGCGAGAUAACUCUCUCUAAGGAACUCGGCAAAAUGACCUCGUAACUUCGGGAGAAGAGGUGCCCUUAAACGGGCUGCAAGAACCAGACGCUGGCGACUGUUUAUCAAAAACACAGGUCUCCGCAAAGUCGUAAGACGAUAUAUGGGGGCUGACACCUGCCCAGUGCCGGAAGGUUAAGGAAGCUUGUUAGUCUUUGACGAAGCUCGCGACCGAAGCCCCGGUGAACGGCGGCCGUAACAAUAACGGUCCUAAGGUAGCGAAAUUCCUUGUCGGGUAAGUUCCGACCUGCACGAAUGGCGUAACGACUUCCCCGCUGUCUCCAACAUCGACUCAGCGAAAUUGAAUUGCCUGUCAAGAUGCAGGCUUCCCGCGGUUAGACGGAAAGACCCCGUGCACCUUUACUACAGCUUCGCACUGGCAUCAGGAUUGUGAUGUGCAGGAUAGGUGGUAGGCUUUGAAGCGGUGACGCCAGUCAUCGUGGAGCCUCCCUUGAGAUACCACCCUUCGCACUCUUGAUGUCUAACCGCGGUCCGUUAUCCGGAUCCGGGACCCUGCGUGGCGGGUAGUUUGACUGGGGCGGUCGCCUCCCAAAGAGUAACGGAGGCGCGCGAAGGUUGGCUCAGAGCGGUCGGAAAUCGCUCGUUGAGUGCAAUGGCAGAAGCCAGCCUGACUGCAAGACUGACAAGUCGAGCAGAGUCGAAAGACGGCCAUAGUGAUCCGGUGGUCCCGAGUGGAAGGGCCAUCGCUCAACGGAUAAAAGGUACGCCGGGGAUAACAGGCUGAUACUGCCCAAGAGUCCAUAUCGACGGCAGUGUUUGGCACCUCGAUGUCGGCUCAUCAUAUCCUGGUUGAGAAUAAUCUUCCAAGGGUCGGUCUGUUCUACCGUUAAAAUGGUACGUGAGCUGGGUUUAGAACGUCGUGAGACAGUUCGGUCCCUAUCUGCCGUGGGUGUAGGAUACUUGAGAGGAGUUGCCCCUAGUACGAGAGGACCGGGGUGAACGAUCCACUGGUGGACCUGUUGUGGCGCCAGCCGCAGUGCAGGGUAGCUAUGAUCGGAAAGGAUAACCGCUGAAGGCAUCUAAGCGGGAAGCCCCCCUCAAAACAAGGUAUCCCUGAGGGCCGUGGUAGACCACCACGUCGAUAGGCCGGAGGUGUAAGCGCAGCAAUGCGUUCAGCUGACCGGUACUAAUGGCCC
rnacentral:rRNA from 1 species